UAAAUAAAUAAAAAAAUAGUAUUUGAUGUUCGUUCAAUGAAAAGCAGAAAUUCUUCUCUCAUAUCAUAGGGAUGUUUGUAUCGCAUGCACAGCGAACGCAAAAUAACUGCGAGCUUCAAAUACGUCACUAAAAGAAGGGGAAAUAAGAUGGAAAGAGCAAGACAGCAAUGAGUCUGUCUGCGCAUGUUCAUUUUGACACAAUCAGUUGCACUUUUCAUUAAUGACUUUACAUUACACCAUAUUUUGUGAAAAUCUAAAUAUAAUUUCUUUGUAAUGGUCGUCCAAGCUCGCAGCCACUGAACGCCAAAAAAAUUUGCCAUAUUUGCAGUGAGCAGUAACUUGAUGCUUCGAUUUCCUGCAAUACUGUUCCUCCACACUGUGAGUGAUUGUACUCUUUGACGAAUUGUUUUAUUGUUUGUCGACAACUUAAAAGAGGCAACUUUCAUCGCCAAUAGUUGUAGCACUUCAUAUUAGUCUCUGUUGAACUUUGAAUUCAUUCUGUUGACCCUUGAAAUAUUCUUUCCGCUUACCUGUAACUAUCCCCUUUCAUAUUCGGGUUGCCUGGUAUGAAGGAAAGAUCUUAAAGCUUACCGAUGGGUAAGGAUAUGAAACGACAUUAUUUCAGGUACCAACUUAUAAGCUCCAAAAGGUCAAGGUCAAGUCAAGGCUCAGCAGACACAUUCAGAUCGCAAUGGCCGUACAUCGAAAAUAUGAAGUUUCUUGAGGGAAGUAUUUCCCUUCGGUCAUCAGUGGGAAAUGAUCUGCCCCCACCUCUACAGAAACCCAAGGAAGAAGAGAAUUCUCAGAUGGAUGAUUCACCCAGUACAGAAGACACAAGCCACAACGACACUGCUCCGUCAGCUUCACACUUCCCAACAACACCAGCAUCCAUAAAGCCAAACAAGAGGAAGAUAUGUACUGAGAAAAAUCAACUGAUUGCUAGGGCCAUGGAAAUAUUUGAUUCACCUCGGGACCUCCAAAAAUUUGGUGAUUUUGUUGUGGCAGAACUGUGCGCACUGCGCAACCCAUUGCUAAUGCGGCGAGCAAAGCGCAGUAUCAUGCGCAUAUUACUAGAUACGUCAGCAGCAGACGAUGGGUUAUCCGCGCCCUGAGCAUCACCAGGUUCGUCCUUUUCUCCUGCCGCAUUGCCACUGGCUUCAGGAACACCAUCAUCAAGUCAAGACAUCUGAAUAUCUAGCUGCAAGCAGGCCAUGAACAUGACCAAGUUUCAUCCUACCAGAGAAACCAAAGUCGACUGUGUUAACCCUUACAGAUGAAUCCAACGUAACCUUAUAUAUCACCGACUAUGACCAUGACAGUCAAUUGUGAGCUAGUGCACACCUUAUAAGGUAAAAUGAAGAGUAGUGGUUACAAACUCAAUCUCUAACCCAUAAUCUUUGGUUGUCACCAUUCUCAAAUUCUUCAGUUAACUCAAGGUUCUGUUUUAAUGUCAAUACAAUUUUCUCAAUAUUUCCAGCCAUCCUACAUAAGACCCACAAGUGUUAAUUAUAAUUUUCACCCAGAACUGAUGUACAAUUAGGAAAGGGUAGUUCAUGAAGGAGUCAUUCCAAGUGAAUGACUUACGCAGCUCCUGGAGCUGUGAACAAUGUAGCAGAUGCCUCACUCCCUGCCAACAGGAGUCAUCAAUGAAAAAAACAACUCCAGCUUACUCAAAAGUUGCACUGUACAUAAUCUGCUCCAUACCAGAUGUACACUAUAUAACUCAAGUGAAACACAUUUACUGUUUUCCCAACAAUUUAUUUUCCUAACUACUAAUACAAUGUUUAAGUCACCCACUCACUCUAGGGUGCAGGAUAUUCUUGGAAAAGUCAAUUGUAUACUCAGCUUGUCAAUGAAUAACCCACUUUCUUUAUGGAAUGCAAAGGUUUAUCACCAUGUUCACAAAAGCCUGCCACCAGACUCUACCCUGAGCUAGCUGCAUCCAGUUCAC